rnacentral:tRNA from 1 species
GCGGGCAUAGUUUAGUGGUAAAACCGCUGUCUUCCACACAGCUGAUGUCAGUUCGAUUCUGUCUGCCCGCACCA